GAUACCCGCUGAACUUAAGCAUAUCAAUAAGCGGAGGAAAAGAAACCAACCGGGAUUGCCUCAGUAACGGCGAGUGAAGCGGCAAGAGCUCAAAUUUGAAAGCUGGCUCCUUCGGGGUCCGCAUUGUAAUUUGCAGAGGAUGCUUCGGGCGCGGCCCCCGUCUAAGUGCCCUGGAACGGGCCGUCGGAGAGGGUGAGAAUCCCGUCUGGGACGGGGUGUCCGUGUCCGUGUGAAGCUCCUUCAACGAGUCGAGUUGUUUGGGAAUGCAGCUCUAAAUGGGUGGUAAAUUUCAUCUAAAGCUAAAUAUUGGCCGGAGACCGAUAGCGCACAAGUAGAGUGAUCGAAAGAUGAAAAGCACUUUGAAAAGAGAGUUAAACAGCACGUGAAAUUGUUGAAAGGGAAGCGCUUGCGACCAGACUCGCUCGCGGGGUUCAGCGGGCCUUCGGGCCCGUGUACUUCCCCGUGGGCGGGCCAGCGUCGGUUUGGGCGGCCGGUCAAAGGCCUCCGGAAUGUAGCACCCUUCGGGGUGCCUUAUAGCCGGGGGUGCAAUGCGGCCUGCCUGGACCGAGGAACGCGCUUCGGCACGGACGCUGGCAUAAUGGUCGUAAGCGACC
rnacentral:rRNA from 1 species